CUGAUGGAGUUAUGGUGGCGUGGACGAGAUCAGCGAGGUGGACACCCAGGCAAUGAUGAAGAUGCAGUCCUUGGCAAGUUACACCUCACCAACGAUACCCUGAAUUUCAAUAAAAUGGAGAACACAAAUGGAUCAAAUAGCUUGUUCUAAUAUGCAAGAUGGAACACAUAAAUAUUUUGUCAAAUAUCGAUUGUUUUAAAACUGUAGUAGGAAAAUUCAUUAGGACAAAUUUUAUAUGUCUGCCACUGUUCAUGCUUAUGCUCUACCAACUGCCAUUUCGUCGCCUCCAAUGCUUACAGGCUCAUGGAAAUCGAACUAUGACAAUUUGAAGGAUGUAAAAAAAAAAAGAGAAAGAAAGAAGAAUUAGAAUAUGGCUAGAGUUUCUCCAGGCUCUAGUAGUAGCAUUAUAUCAGAAUUCAGAUUCUUCAUACAUGUAUUUUUUUUCCUAAGAAAACAACAAACUGAAAACUAUGAUGUUGUCUCAUAUAUUCUUUAAAAUUAAUUUAUUUAUUUUUGUGCAUGGGUGUUGGAUUUGCCUCCAAUUUUAGUAAGAUCAAACUAACAAAAAGUUCAGUUAUGCCUGAGAAAGGAAAAUACUAAUUUUAGUACGAUCAAACGAACAAAAAAAGUCAGUUAUGCCUGAGAAGGGAAAAUACUCUCGUUUAACAUAGACAUCAUCAGAUCAGAAACAGGUUAAUCCCCCAGAUCUCAGUACCUUCAGUUUGUUCUUAGCGCAUCAUCAGAUCAGCACCUACACUGUGCCAAAAAAAAUUGAGCUAAUCCCAGUUUUCUUUGAAACAGGUUAAUCCCUCAGAUCUCAGUACCUUCAGUUUGUUCUUAGCUCAUCAUCAGAUCAGCACCUACACUAUGCCAAAAAAAAAAUUGAGCUAAUCCCAGUUUUCUUUGCUAACUUUAUCUGACAAAUAAAAUGAUCUAAACUCAUAUCACAGUAAUAAAAAGACCACAACUAAUAUCAAAACUUAAAUCCUAAAGGUUCUAAACCUAACGACAUCCAAAUUUUUUAUCAAGGUUUUGCUACCCUAAUAAAUUUUACUGAUUGAACACUGGAUGUCUAGAUCGUAACUGCUUUCGAUGCAUAGCUGAAGGCAAUACUACUCAAUGCAACGGUAGAAAGUGUACAUUAUAGUUAAAAUGCCAGCUCAUGAUAGUGUAUAAAGAGAUGGGGAUUUCGGUGCAUUCACGUUUGGGAGGGGAGGAACCGGGAUAUAAAUUUGCAAUUUGCAGUGAAUAAAGAUGUACUAAUUAUUGGACGAGGCAUUACCAUCAAUCUAUCCAGUCUGCAAGGUGCUCUACCAUUGUUAGACUCUCGUAGUCUCGUUCCCGCUGUCCUGCACACACGCAAAUAACAAAGAAAAAAAAUCAGAGAAUGGGGAUUAGACUCAAGGAAUGGAGAUCAGAAAGGAAGGAGGCGGCGGUCAGUGGCGGAUGGCGUGGGCGGAGAGGGCUGCGAGGACGGCGGCGCGGUGGAGAGAAGGGGGACGGCGGUCAAUGGCGGAUGAGGAGGCGUGGUUGUCGUCGACGGAGUGUGAGGCGGAGUCGGGCGAAGACGAACAUGGCAAGGGAGUCGCGUAUGAGAUCGGGGCGGCGGCCAGUGGCGGAUCGGAGACCGCGGGAUCCAGAGGAUCUCACCGUGGAUGUUUGCGGUGCGACGAAUGGAGGGCACGACGAGGAGGCGAGAUGGAUGGCGACCUGACGGUGAUGAAUCGACGUAUGCCGGUG
rnacentral:lncRNA from 1 species